rnacentral:rRNA from 1 species
UCCUACGGGAGGCAGCAGUGGGGAAUCUUGGACAAUGGGCGCAAGCCUGAUCCAGCCAUGCCGCGUGAGUGAAGAAGGCCUUAGGGUUGUAAAGCUCUUUUGGCGGGGACGAUGAUGACGGUACCCGCAGAAUAAGCCCCGGCUAACUUCGUGCCAGCAGCCGCGGUAAGACGAAGGGGGCUAGCGUUGUUCGGAAUUACUGGGCGUAAAGCGAGUGUAGGUGGUUUUCCAAGUUGGAUGUGAAAGCCUUGAGCUCAACUCAAGAAAUGCAUUCAGGACUGGAUGACUAGAGGACCGGAGAGGAUAGUGGAAUUCCCAGUGUAGUGGUGAAAUACGUAGAGAUUGGGAAGAACACCAGUGGCGAAGGCGGCUAUCUGGACGGUUUCUGACACUAAGACUCGAAAGCGUGGGGAGCAAACAGGAUUAGAUACCCGGGUAGUCCAAGCCG